rnacentral:rRNA from 1 species
UGGGGAAUCUGGCACAAUGGGGGAAACCCUGAUGCAGCGACGCCGCGUGAGCGAUGAAGGUUUUCGAAUCGUAAAGCUCUGUCAUAUGGGAAGAUAAUGACGGUACCAUAGGAGGAAGCCCCGGCUAACUACGUGCCAGCAGCCGCGGUAAUACGUAGGGGGCGAGCGUUGUCCGGAAGUACUGGGCGUAAAGGGUUCGCAGGCGGCAUGACAAGUGCGAUGUAAAAGGCGAAAGCUCAACUUUCGUAAGCAUCGGAAACUGUCAAGCUUGAGUUAAGGAGCGGCAAGUGGAAUUCCUAGUGUAGCGUUGGAAUGCGUAGAUAUUAGGAGGAAUACCGGUGGCGAAGGCGACUUGCUGGACUUCAACUGACGCUGAGGACCGAAAGCGUGGGUAGCAAACAGG